rnacentral:lncRNA from 13 species
AGCUAUUAUCCUGUGGUGCCCUCCCUGAGAGAAGGGAACGUCGGGCUCCUUGCAGAGGUUCUGCAGGGAUUGUGGGGUUUGUCCAGCAAGGGCAGAGCACAGCCCUGAGUGGUUGGUCUGGGACAUUGUGAGGCUUGUGGGAUGAAUUGGAGAAGGAAAAGGUGUUUUAUAUGGUAUUUCCCUUUUCUCUUUAGAUAACUCAGUCGGUACGAGCAAGGUGGAGACAACAACAGAGCGGUGGAACUGGAGACAAAGGUGUUGUGGGGAUGUGCUGGGUAACAGAGGGCUCAGCAGGGAUCAGACUAAAGCCUGGCCUACCUGAUCCUGGACUACAAGUGCUCCUCUCAGUGCUGCUUAAUUGAUUGCUCCUGUACCUGGAGCACGGGCUCACAUCUUAAUUUAAAUUAAAACAUCCCAGGUUGCAGCAGCCACAGUGAGGGAAAACUGCAGUGAAUCCCUCCCAACAAGAAAGGUGCUGCUGGCUGUGUUCCAGUGGGAAUCUGCACCUUGGGAAACCUGGGGCUGACGCUGCUGCACUGGGCAUGGAUGUUAGGAGGGGUUUUGCCUUUUGGGUCAGGCAGAGGGGUGGAUCCUCACCUCUGACUGUGAUUGGGGUGCUGCAGGAAGGGUGGGUGCUCGGGAUUUUUGGGGAAAACAAGCCCACUCAUCCCUCUGUGUUCUCAUUCUCCCUGCUCAGCCCUGUUCCCUCUGCAGCUGGAUUUGGAGCUGACCCCGUGGAAGAGCUGCAGGUUGAAGUGAAGAGGAUGGAAAGGAACUUGGAGGAGAAAUUACCCGAUGCACGUGGUGGGAAGGAGAUGCUGGAUGUGGAGAAGGAGCAGAUGAUGGUGGAGAAGCAGGAGCUGGCAGGCUCAGAUGGGAGAGGGGAGAGAGAGGCUGGAGGAAAAUCUGGCAGGAACCGAGAGAGAAAAGGCUUCAGGUCCCUGAUUGUGGCUUCACUUCUAUCCACCACCAGCAGCUGCUUCUGGAGGCUUCCCAGCAGCUCCUGCACGCCUCAGUUGUUCCAGAAUGAGGAGUGCUCUCCGUGAGGACGUUCCCCCUCCUGCCUUUGGCUUCGGAUUUCAGGAGCCUGUGCCCCUCCUCUGCCCUCCUCCUCCACUCCGCAGGAGAUUCUCAGCCAGUGCAACUGAAGGUAGGACCCACCUUUUGAAGGCCACCUCACCCCUUGUUCUGUCAGCCCAGCAAGCUCCUGUCUCAUGGCACACCUGAGGGCUGGCAAGGCCCUGCUUUCUGUAGGAAAAUAACCAAGUUCUGUCGAAGGAGGUGAUUCCCUCUUUGCCUCAGGGCGCAGAGAGGACAGGGCAGAGCACCCAGGGGCCUGGAGCCCUCCAGGAUCCACGAGGGAGGCCCAGGUUGCUGCAGGGGGAGUUUGCCACCUUUGAAGGCUCUGUGGGAUGGUUCAGGCUGAGGAAUUUGGGGCCGUUCGGCCUGGAGAAGAGAAUUUUAGGUGGAGCCCUCACAGAAGCCUUGCCCUAUCUGGAAGGGGCUGCAAGGAAGGCAGAGAGGGGCUCUGCAUCAGGAACUGGAGUGCCAGGACAAGGGGGGAACGGUUCACAGGGAUAGAUGGGAUAUUGGGAAGGAAUUCUUGGCUCUGAGGGUGGGGAUGCCCUGGCACAGGGUGCCCGGAGAAGUUGAGGCUGCCCCAAGCCCGGCAACAUCCCUGAUGGGGAUUAUUCCCACCUGAACCAGGCGGAAUUCCCUGUCCUGGUGCACGGAGGGUCGCUGGGCAGAGCAGUGCUCGACACCAGGGGUGGCUCCUGGAUCGCCGGAGGCUCCGUGGCGCUGCUGCAGCCCCUGUGUGCAGAGCUGCCAGGGCAAACUGCACCCCUGGGGCAGGAGCAGGGUCCUGGCUGUGCUCUCAGGGAGGUCUGGGCGUUCUGGGGCACUGUCAGAGGCCUGGCUGUCCCCGGGUUCGCUCCUGCUGCCCACGCGUGGAUUCCCUGUGUGAGCUUCCACACCGGCCCAGCAAAUCCCCCCUGGCACCAGGAGUGUGGCUGGGCUGGCACUGCCCUUUCUCCCCAGAAUCUCCCAGAGGUUCCCUCCUGGGGAGCAGUGAAUUUUCUGUCUUCAUUGCUCAUAAAGAAUCACAUAAAAUACAAUUUUUUUCCCUGCUUUCCCUGGCUCUGUCCUGGUGGCAUUGGCCCAGGUUGCUCAGCCUCAGGUGGCUGCUCCAAACACCUCCCUCAGGAGCCUGACAGCGUUGUCUGUGCGGGGUUGUUUUCCACGUGGAGCAGCCUGUGGAAAAGGUCCUUCUGCACUGAUCACUUCCAUUUUCUGGCAGGUAUAAAUCUGGAGAGGCAGCAGGGAGAGGCAGUGAGUGAUUAUGGAAUGGGUUGGGUUAGAAGGGACCUUCAAAGAUCACCCACACCACAAGGGCAGGGACACCUCCCACUGUCCCAGGCUGCUCCAAGCCCCAAUGUCCAACCUGGCCUUGGGCACUGCCAGGGAUCCGGGGGCAGCCCCAGCUGCUCUGGGCACCCUGUGCCAGGGCCUGCCCACCCUCCCAGGGAACAAUUCCUUCCCAAUCUCCCAUCCAGCCCUGCCCUCUGGCACUGGGAAGCCAUUCCCUGGCCCCUUGUCCUGUUGCCUUCCCUAUAAUCCCUGCCUUAGCCCCAUCCCUGGCUUCCCUCACUGCUGGGGCCUCCUUCAUUUCAUAAAACCUCCCUUCAUUUCCCAGCUCAGCUUUAAUUAACUGGGCUGAGCCUGCCCACCCAGAGCCAGCUGGGGAGGGCACAGGAAGGUGGUGGGGUGGCCUUGUGCCCCCUCUGGGAGCUGUGCCAGGCCCUGGGCCCCUUCUCAGCCCCAAAACACAGCAACCCCAAGUCAAUGAACUCACUGCAACACCUCCUGGAGCUCAGGCUGUUCCACAAGUGUGAGGUGAGCUGAGAGGUUUGUGCAUCCCUGUGCCAGGGUAGGAAACUGGGAUAAGAAAAUCCUUGGUUUGGGUGCUCUCCAGGCUCUGGUUUUCCUGUGGAAAGACACCCAGCACAGGCUGGCACUGACAGCAGCUGAUUUUGGGACGUGCUGCCCAGCCAGGUCUGGCUUUCAGCCCCUUAAACCCUGUUCCUCACCUCCCUCAUCCCAGGAGGCCCAAGGAAUCAGGAGGAUUCCCUGCUGCCCCUCCAGGCACUGCCACAGCCAAGGAUGGGUGUCCCAUUCCCGGGAUAAGGCGCAGCUCAGCCAUGGGGGUGUCGUCUCCUUCCCUUCCCUGAUCUUUUAGGGACCGAGAGUUUGGGGACAGAGAAGUAAUUCAAAGUCAUCUCCCUCCCUCUGUGCUGAGCAAAGGGGGAACCUGGCAGGUACUGACCCACCUGAGUGUCCUGAUGAUCUUCUGUUACCAAAUUUCAUCGCCUGAGAUGUCCGUGGGACUCGGGAGGGUGGACUUGGCUCCUCCUGGGGCAGAAUUAACCUGGGUGGAGGAAAACCCAGAGGUGUUUCCUGCAGCUCUGUGCUGCUGAGCUGGGCCCUGGCUCUGUGGGACACUCAGUGACUCUCAGGGUCCUGCAGCAGAGCAGGGAGGGCUUGGCUGGGGGUGCCAGGGCACUGCAGAGCCCGGCAGGGGCAGCUUUGUG